AGCAACCCUGACUUUUGCUAAAGCGAUUCAGCCCCAUUGUAACCAUCGUUUCAACACCCUCUUUGUUUAUAGCCCGUGCUCCCUUUAUUCUCAACUUACAUUCCAACUUCUCUAGUUCUCAACCCUCGCUUCCUCUUUUCCCAUCCAUUCCUAGCCUCCUCGCCUAGCUUAGUUACCAGCUCUUAUCUUAACCUUAUUUCAGCUCUCA
rnacentral:lncRNA from 1 species